CCCCUAGAUGUUCUGGGCCGCACGCGCGCUACACUGAACAGUUCAACAAGUCUUAACCUUGGCCGAUAGGUCUGGGUAAUCUUUGAACGCUGUUCGUGAUUGGGAUAGACCUUUGCAAUUAUGGGUCUUCAACGAGGAAUUCCUAGUAAACGCAAGUCAUCAGCUUGCAUUGAUUACGUCCCUGCCCUUUGUACACACCGCCCGUCGCACCUACCGAUUGAAUGGUCCGGUGAAAUCUCGGGACGGCGGCUUGGUCCCUUGCGUCCGACUGCUGAAACUUGAUUAAACCAUAUCAUUUAGAGGAAGGUGAAGUCGUAACA
rnacentral:rRNA from 1 species